rnacentral:tRNA from 1 species
GGGCGAUUAGCUCAGUUGGUUAGAGCGCCACCUUUACACGGUGGAUGUCAGGAGUUCGAGUCUCUUAUCGCCCACCU